rnacentral:rRNA from 1 species
GAAAGCUAUUUAGGUAGCGCCUCAUGUAUAACUGUUGGGGGUAGAGCACUGUUUCGGCUAGGGGGCCAUCCCGGCUUACCAACCCGAUGCAAACUCCGAAUACUGACAAGUUGAGCAUGGGAGACACACGGCGGGUGCUAACGUUCGUCGUGAAGAGGGAAACAACCCAGACCGCCAGCUAAGGUCCCAAAGUCAUAGUUAAGUGGGAAACGAAGUGGGAAGGCUUAGACAGCUAGGAUGUUGGCUUAGAAGCAGCCAUCAUUUAAAGAAAGCGUAAUAGCUCACUAGUCGAGUCGGCCUGCGCGGAAGAUGUAACGGGGCUAAAACUAUGCACCGAAGCUGCGGCAGUGUGUGAAUAACAUAUUGGGUAGGGGAGCGUUCUGUAAGCCUGCGAAGGUGAACUGUGAGGUUUGCUGGAGGUAUCAGAAGUGCGAAUGCUGACAUAAGUAACGAUAAUGCGGGUGAAAAGCCCGCACGCCGGAAGACCAAGGGUUCCUGUCCAACGUUAAUCGGGGCAGGGUGAGUCGACCCCUAAGGCGAGGCAGAGAUGCGUAGCUGAUGGGAAACGGGUUAAUAUUCCCGUACUGGUGUAUAUUGCGAUGGGGGGACGGAGAAGGCUAGGUUUACCACCUAUUGGAUGGUGGGUUAAGCGUGUAGGGGUGUGAUUAGGCAAAUCCGGUCACUAAAACUCUGAGGCGUGAUGACGAGGCACUAAGGUGCUGAAGUAAUUGAUGCCCUGCUUCCAGGAAAAUCCUCUAAGCUUCAGAUAUACAUUAAUCGUACCCGAAACCGACACAGGUGGUCAGGUAGAGAAUACUCAGGCGCUUGAGAGAACUCGGGUGAAGGAACUAGGCAAAAUGGUGCCGUAACUUCGGGAGAAGGCACGCUGAUGGUAAUUGAAGUCCCAUGCGGAUGGAGGUGAAAUCAGUCGAAGAUACCAGCUGGCUGCAACUGUUUAAUAAAAACACAGCACUGUGCAAACACGAAAGUGGACGUAUACGGUGUGACGCCUGCCCGGUGCUGGAAGGUUAAUUGAUGGGGUUAAGCGUAAGCUGAAGCUCUUGAUCGAAGCCCCAGUAAACGGCGGCCGUAACUAUAACGGUCCUAAGGUAGCGAAAUUCCUUGUCGGGUAAGUUCCGACCUGCACGAAUGGCGUAAUGAUGGCCAGGCUGUCUCCACCCGAGACUCAGUGAAAUUGAA